CUCUGACAAUUUCUUCACCAACCAGGAAAGAAGUUUAGGCAAAGUUCUGUGUCAAACUACCGCGCCGUCGUUGUGGGAAUCAAAGAUCCUGCGUCAACCUAUGUGCCUUCAGGGGUUAAACAUAAACAGUCAAAAACAGACUUGGACUCGACAGGAACCAAAGGUGAUCCUGCCAUCUCUGGAGGUUAAAAGGG